rnacentral:rRNA from 1 species
CCUACGGGAGGCAGCAGUGGGGAAUAUUGCACAAUGGGGGAAACCCUGAUGCAGCGACGCCGCGUGAGUGAAGAAGUAUUUCGGUAUGUAAAGCUCUAUCAGCAGGGAAGAAGAAAGACGGUACCUGACUAAGAAGCCCCGGCUAACUACGUGCCAGCAGCCGCGGUAAUACGUAGGGGGCAAGCGUUAUCCGGAUUUACUGGGUGGAAAGGGAGCGUAGACGGCUGUGCAAGUCUGAAGUGAAAGCCCAGGGCUCAACCCUGGUACUGCUUUGGAAAAUGUGGAGCUAGAGUGCUGGAGAGGUAAGUGGAAUUCCUAGUGUAGCGGUGAAAUGCGUAGAUAUUAGGAGGAACACCAGUGGCGAAGGCGGCUUACUGGACAGUAACUGACGUUGAGGCUCGAAAGCGUGGGGAGCAAACAGGAUUAGAUACCCCAGUAGUC